rnacentral:lncRNA from 1 species
UUCUUCAAUCUCCACCUUACACGGUGUACGAUCCAUUAGGUUCCUUUUAGCGAGGCAGUGGGUGAUUAAAACCAUUUCAAAUCGAUUGUGAAUUGAAACUUACUUUCAAUUCUCCCUUUAGUGAUUAUACACGUUUAGGGCUUUCACAAACCAUGAGUGACACCUAGCAACAUAUCAUGGUUACCCAAGCUAAUCAGAAGAGGUGGAGAACCUAUUCAGUUUAGGAUUACAAAUGCAAUACGGUCUUUCUCUAAUACAAUACUCUUGACCACAUUGUUUGGUUUGAUAGUUUAUUCAUGUCUACUAUCCAAUGUGAGUCGUGUGCUUAUAUGAUUACCUUGAAUGUGAUUUGGAACGACUUCCUAAAUCUCAUUCAUACUCUGGCCAGAGAUUCUUAAUCAUAUCAUAGAGUAUUUCUCCCCAAACGGUUUUGAAGGUUAGAGAUCCCUUGUUGCGCAUUCACUUGCCUCCAUGACUAAGUGGCUUAACCCCGACGAUGCCGUGGACACCCGUGGAUGGGGUGACUUUGACAUAAUCAAAGAUCAAGUACCUAACCACAAGACAACUAUGAUGCCUCAGGUCAAAUGACUACUUUGCAUUAUCCCAACCAUGAGUUCUCAUGUGACAUGAAUAUGAGAACUCUUCGUUGAUCGUGUUCAGUGAACUCAUUCUCUAUUGAGCACCUACGUACUUGUCUUGAUGUCACACACACCAAUGACUCGGACUAGUCACUCUCCCUGAGAGAAGACACAGCACGUACUGAUCUUAACGGACUGUCAAUGCCCAAUUGGCAAUCCUAUGAGCAGGAACGUUUAGGAUGUGUCUACGAAAGAAUCUCAUGAAUCUAACUUCUUUAGAUCGCAUUCUCCCAAUCACAUAUUCCUUGGACUUAUCGUUUAAGCGUAUAACAUUUAUAUGAAACGGCUCAAACAAAAAUCUUUGCCCUUGAUAUUAAACUAGAUUAGUUUAACAUGUGAAAUGUCCGUAAAGUAUCAUCAUAUGAUUGGUUUUAGGGCACAUUUCCAACAAUCUCCCACUUGCACUAGAGCCAAUCAGCUUGGUCAUCAGUGAUGAUACCUCUUCUGUAGUCAUUUCAUAAAUGGCUGAGUAGUAGGCUUAGACAAUGGAUAUCUAUAUGUUAUCCAUAGAAGCAACCUUGAGAAUAACGACGUCACCAUUAUACAUGAUUCUUAAUCAUGUGGUUCAGUCUCUCAUUUAAGUUCGGAUCUUGAUGAGACCUUGAUUCCCCGGCUGGAGCUAUCGCCCCAUUAGUGUCAGACACUUUCUGGUUGGAACCGAAUAGAGAGUUCAUAAAUGAACUUUCCCAUCCAAACAACAUUGUUGUAAACUUCUAUAUGGCAAUAUAUUUUGCAUUCAUAAUGGAACACACUAAAGUCAUUAUUUUAAUGUUUCCAUCCAAAUAUCUCUUUAGUCAUAAUAAAGAGAUAUCUGUUUAUCUCUUCAUUCAUAAUGAAGAAACAUCCAAUGAUGGAUUAGAUUCAUAAUCUAAUACAUUUACGCUUCCAUUACGUUACUCUAAUUCUUCCUCGAUCUUUGAGGAAUUUAUCCUUUAGUAUUUCUUAAAUACUUAAGGACUCACUUGACAGUUGCCAUGGUUCUGAUCCUGGGCUUGCACUGAUAUCGUCUUGUACCGUUCUAGGUACAACUAAUAUCAAUGUUUUUCAUACAAUAUGAAAUACAUAAAUCACCUUUCUGCAUAUGCAUAAAGGAUUCUAUUUACGCAUUAUUUCUUUGGGAGUCAAAGAGUACGUUCUCUUUGAGAAUAGCAACUUCUUAGUCUCACUAGAGUUGUCUUCUUUAUUGAAGUUCAUCAUCAUAUGAGAAACUUCCUAUCAUCUUUUGUCUAUAUUUAGGGCUUGAUAAUAUCCAAUUAUAUCCUAAAAUCUAUCAAUAUAGAUUUCCAUCCCAUGUAUAGACUAUGUCUCCCAUAUACAUUCUAUCUUCAUAUAAUGUUUUAAAGUCAUAACUUUAACGAAGAAGUAUUCUUUUCAUUUCCAAAAUUAAUAUAUCAUAUAUUUGUAUAUAUAUAUAUAUACAUAUAUAUUCAAAUUUAGGAACAUGAUUAACUCCCACUAAUCUUUUGUAAACCUAGUAAACAAAAGAUUCAUUUACAUCUUUAUGAGAAAUCAAACGAUUUGAUCUUUCUCUCAUAAGACGUUUAUAGCUCUCACUAGCUUGCUAAGAUCCAUGAUGGUUGGAUCUCUACAACUUACAUGUCUUGUGAUUCAUAGUUUUAGACAUAUAUUAUCAAGACUAUCUUAAUAAUGGUUUCGGAAACCCAUAUUAUGUCCAAACAUUGAAUCACCAUUUAGUUGUAGCUAGCAAUCUUCGAAUUAAUUGAAACCAAGACUAUCUCAAAGAUGGUUUCUUCAAAGUCAACCAUUCUCUUUGAUUGUAGUCACCUUAAGCUACCAAUUAGCUUAUGAAGGUUUCAUUAUUUCGGGUCAAAUGGUACUUUACCAUUUCCUUGAGUAUAUAUCAUAUAUACACUCAAUGUAGUCAUAAGGAUUUUCAUUCUUAUUUCUUUCGAAUUAAGAGGUGCAACUCUAUGACAUAGUCAUAAAGUUCAAACCAUUCAAUUGAGACGGUUUAUAAAUCCUUCUCGACUACCUUGGAGCUUUUGGUAUAGGAACUAGGUUGUUAUAUUUGUUGAUUAUUAUCUUGUCUCUCAAAGAACCCAUUCUUUGAGUUCUAUCUCUCAUUCAUUUGCACUUAGGCAAAUCAUAUUGUAAGAUUACAAUGAACUACCCAACAAAACAACAUUUGUUAGUUGGUUUAUAGAAGCGAUAUCCAAAAGUUAAUUUAAGGACAUCCCACAAGAUUGUUAUCAAACAAAUAUUGCUCAUUAGCACACAACCCCAAAUCUUAACAUGCUUGAGAUUUGUCUUUCUUUCCAACUACAUCUUAUGGAGUCAUGAAAAUUUUGGAAGAUCUUCUAAUUGACAAUCAUAUUGUUUUUAGAAGUAUAUAUCCUAUAUAUGGGUAAUAGAUAACAUCUAAUGAACUAAAUCUUAUUCGAGUUCGUUCUUCUCCUAAUGGAGAAAUUCAUUAUCUUAUGAUGCUAUUUUCCUUGAUAUCUUUCAAGGAAACUCAUCUAAAGUGUUACUUUUCCUUGGAUCAAAUCUAAGGAGGUAAAUACUUUAGAUGUCUUACUCAUCAACUUACAUUUCUUGAAUUCUUUGAAACCUUUUGCAAAGUAUUCGGACUUGUGUUUAUUCAAAAUAAACUAUAGUCCAACCGAGAGUGAUCUUCGGUGAAUGUCAUACAACAUGAGUAGUAUUAUGUUGUGGACAAGUGCUACUAACAUCUAAGUGAAUUAACCUCAACAACUUUGUGAUUCUUUCUUCUUUCCAAAAGAAUAAAGAUUCGAACAUUUCGCCUCUAUACAAUUUUAAUAAGAAGGUAUUGGAUCCGGAUCUAACGAUCCAAAGCAUCCAUCUAUGACCAACUCGUAUUUUAUGUUUUUGAGGUAUCACAACUCAGUUGGGAUUAGUCACUAUCUUGCAACCUUUUGGGUUUUAAGCAUCAUUAUAUUCUAAACAGUUAACACUACCAUAUCAUCUCUACUAUAAAGACAAUCAAUUAGAUUACUAUAAUCCAAUCAUUGACUAAUAAAGAACAAUGUUUUGUCAAACAAAAUAUUCAUCCAUCUCUACUAUAGUGACGGAAUUAAGUUCCUUAAAAUUGGAAUGUAAAGACAAUCUUUGGUUUUUCCAAUUUCUUUGGUAGUUCAUAUGAGGAAGUAAGUACUAUCUGCUUUCGUAGAGAUCUUUAUUUUAUUCACAUUCCGAAUGUGAAGCACCUUUUUCUUCUCUCAUAUAUCUUCUACUUCUUAUUAGUCACACUUUUACAACGAUUGUAAAACAUAGUUACUAAUACGGAAUCAAGCAUUCAAGCAGAAGAACCAACUAUUUUGAACUAUUCAAGAACAAUUUACAACACCUUCGAAAGGUGUGUUCUUGACACUUGCAAGACAUUUCUUGCAAAUACCCCUUCCAAUGUCCAUCAUUUCAUAAAGAAAGUUUGUUCCCUUGGAGUUAAUUUAUCUUCUUCAUUUGACUUCUCCUUUGACUACAAUAGUCAUGGUCCCUAAACUCCCACUAUCUCUCUUGAAACUUAUUUCAAUUGUGUUAUACACAUCAAACAUUUUGGAGAGCAUGUGUUUAUUGUUCACUACAUAGUUUACAAUAAACUUAGUGAACCAUUAGGAUAGGGACAUAAAGGUGAAGUCCUAGCCUAGUUUCCGUCUCGUUAAGUGGUUUAUCACUUCAACACUCAAUGAUUCAAAAUCAUCAUAAGUCCAUGUUGAUGGACUAUUUUUGUCAAACAACCAUUAUGUUCUAAACAUAAUUACAAACUUUCAAGAGUUGUUCAAGGCAACUCUCAUUUCUUCAUACAACAAUUUGUAAGUGAAGAAUCAUGGCACAUAAAGUGUCCAUGCCCUUGUGCUUACUUCUAAAGUUCCUUGUUCAUGUAACAAAGAAACAAGCACUAAUGUUUGCAUUUAACUAAGAGUUGUUCAAAGCAACUCUUAUUUCUUCAUACAACAAAUUGUAAUUGAAGAAUUUAUGACAUUAAAAGUGUUGUCGUCUUUAUGAUAGACUUUUUCUAACAUAUUCUUCUAAUGAUACAUUAUCAAUAGGAAGAUUGUGAGGAUGAGACUACUUAGGUACAUUUACAAGCCAUUAAAGACAAUCUAUGGUUUUGUAGUACCAAGUCCGGAAACUAAAGCUUUCGGCUUUUAUUUGUCAAGUGUUGGAUAGCGUUUGCAAAUAUAUUGGUAAAUAAAUACAUAACGAAUAUAAAUCGAUUGAUUUUAAGCCAUUUGAUCCGGGUCUUUAAAUCAAAUAGCACCACCCACUAUUUUUGGCAAAUUCCAUAUCCCUCAUUGGAAUUCGAGAGUUUUGGAGGAAACUCUUAGUAGGGUAUGGAAGACUCACUACUACCAAGCCCACCUCACAAUGAUAUGAUAUUGGCUAGCAUUAAUAAUAAUGAGAGAGUACGCUUACUCAUUUGCAUCUCUUGCAAGUACCCAUCUUAUUUGGCCUCUAGAGAAUGUAACCUCACAAUGAUAUGAUAUUGGCUCCAUUGCACUUAGUUAAGUCAUUCCCACCAUGCAAGUUCGGGAAGGGGUUGAAGAACAACCUCACAAUGAUAUGAUAUUGAUCAUUCUCGUUGCCUACCUUUCACAACAUCAAGUAUGCAUAUAGACUCCUCCUGAGUGUAAGUACGCACUUUGUACUCCCCCAUGAUAGGGUGAAGCCAGUGUACGAGUCACAAACGAUCGGAGCCUACCACGGUGGAAGGCCACGAAAGAGUAUUCAAAGCACUCUCACGCUUCUCAACUUAAUAAUGGUUUGGUUGAGGGUUUUUAGGUCUCAUCACAUAUAAAUAUUCAUUUUAAUCUUUAUUAAAACAAUUUUGGUCCUAUUACAACUAUUGGUCCAUUGAUUGAAUUUAGUUGUAUAUAAUACUCCCACUAUGCUUAUAAAACGGUUUUUAAAGCAAGAGUAUAUGAUACUACUAACAUAAACUUUGCAUUCAUUUGAUGGACUAUAUAGUUGCCUUAGGGCCUUAUGAUGACUAUGAACCUUUGUUUAGAUUCAACACGAGCCUAGUGUUGAAUCUCGGUCUAGGGAUGGUGAUUGAUUUUAGUUACGCGUUUAAUCACAUUAAGGCAUGUUGUCUUAGGGGCGUUGGACCCUCUACUCCAUUUUCAUGCAUAUCAAAUAAUACAAGAAAGGAGUACUUCAAAGUAAAGAUGAGCUUAUGCUCUUUACAACAUUUGAAUAAAACAAAUUACUUUAAAGUAAAGAAGAGAGCUUAUGCUCUUUUACAACAUUUGAUCAAAUCAAAUUACAACCAAAAUCUAAUCUACACAUUCCCAUGGUUCAAACAAAUUUGAAACGGCCUUUCACAUAACUCAAUUAUCGUAGGCUUAGCUUCAUAAUCACCCUUUAAUUAAUUAACACUUUAACUAAUUAAAUUGAAUGCAACAUUUUCAUUUGGUUUUUGUAUCCAUAGAAUUGAUUUAAAUGGAGCUAAAUGAAACGAAAAUCCAAUUCUCAUUUAAAGAGACAAAACCAUUUUGUUCUCAACCUAAUUUGGGCCAAAAUGCAAUAACCUUAACUUUUUGGGCUAUGUUGCAAAACUUAAACUUUUGAGCUCAUUUUGUAAAAACACAAAAGUCCACUACUUCAUGUAAUUACAACUAGAACCCAAAAAUUUCAACAAAUUCAAAAACUUCAUUAAAGGAACAAAACAAUUUGUCCUUUAAUGAUUUUGGGCCUUUACGUAAAUACGUAAACUUUUGGGUCAAACUACAAAUUACACAUAAGUACCAAAACUUUAUGUAAUUGCAUAAAAGCCCCAAAAACCCCCACUUGUAGGGUGGCCGGUUUUGGAGAGAAGGGAGUGAUGUGUGUGUUGAUUUGUAGUUUUAGACAUAAAGUCAUGCAAGUGGUGCAUGACAUAAAUGUCAUGCAAGUGGUGUGUGUGAAAGGGAAUUAAUCCUUACACACCCACCAAUAUUUCUUACACCUUUCUAAAUAAAUAUCUAACAUAUUUAAACAUUUGAAAAGGACAAAACAAAAACUUUAUGAAAUAAAUCAAAACACCAAACUUUUUGUUCUUGGCAAAAAUGUCAAGAACAAUGAAGAACACUCAUGAAAAACUCAAAAAAUUUCCAUGAACAUUUUUCACCCAAAAACAUCCCAAAACCAUUCAAACUUAAGGGAAAUAACAUAUAACCAAACUAGGGUACAUAGGGGUUCCAAAAGUCACUUGAAAACACUUUUAACAAGUCAAACAAGAACCCAAAAAUCCACCCUUUGGAUUUGGCCGAAAAUUCCCAAAAACAUGGCACCAAUUUUUAGCUUCAAUAUUCAUGCUCAUAUGAACUACAUCUACAAAUUUGAGAUGGCAAAUUUUCUAACAAAAUUUACAUUCAAAGAAGCAAGAAUAAAGCUUGUAACAUAUUACAACAUUUGAAUCAAAGACUAUGAACUACAAAACCCAAAAGGAUUCACCAACUACUAGACCUAGGCUCUGAUGAAGGAAAAUUUGUGAAAAACAUGUUCAUUUGAGCAACAUCUAUAGCAUUCGAUUAACAAUUAAAAGGCGGAAUCAUGCUUGCAUGCACUCAAAAACAAAACAUUAACCAUGAAAUUCAAAGCCUAGUAGAUUGGUGAACCUUGACUCAACUUAAAACAACAUUUGUUAGUUGAGAAAUUAUACCUUUGUAGAUUCCUCUUUGCAUAAGCAAAGGCUAAUCACCCAAAGAGAGGGCCUUCAUUCCUUGCAUCUUAGAUCUAUGGAUUUGGAUGGAUGAAAUGGUUCUCCAAGUUCCCAAAAUUGAGAACCUCUAAGUCUCUUCACCAAGGUUAGAUUGGAGAAGAAAUGAGUGACCUUCGAGUAGUAGGAUUGCUAGCUAAACCCUCCAAGGAGGCCGGCCACGUUAGAGAGAAAUGAGAGCUUAUGUUCUCAUCCUUUCCCCAAAAGAAAACCCUAAAUGAAUUUUGGCUAUAAAGUCAUAUUUAUACCUUAAUUCAUUGGAGUGGCAAACUUGUAAAUAAGUCCAAAACUCACUCCAUCUCUAAAUGGCCGGCCUUAGGGUAUUAUUGGGCUAAUUGGGCCUUUGUGAAUCAUUAUUCAUUAAGUUGUCAUACAACUUAAGUCAAUGGGCUUGACGUUCGAAGCCCAUUGGGCCUUAAGGUCCAAAACUAUCCCGAGGUCUUUAACGAACUUAUUCGUUUGAUUAAUUAACAUAUUAAUUAAUCCUUGCCAUAAAUAAUUAAACCAUUUAAUUAUUCUUACUCAUCUCCAUUGUUUCUUCAAUCUCCACCUUACAUGAUGUACGAUCCAUUAGGUUCCUUUUAGCGAGGCAGUGGGCGAUUAAAACCAUUUCAAAUCGAUUGUGAAUUGAAACUUACUUUCAAUUCUCCCUUUAGUGAUUAUACACGUUUAGGGCUUCCACAAACCAUGAGUGUCACCUAGCAGCAUAUCAUGGUUACCCAAGCUAAUCAGAAGAGGUGGAGAACCUAUUCAGUUUAGGAUUACAAAUGCAAGGUGGAGAACCUAUUCAGUUUAGGAUUACAAAUGCAAUACGGUCUUUCUCUAAUACAAUACUCUUGACCACAUU